rnacentral:tRNA from 2 species
GCUGUAGCUCAGCUGGUUAGAGCAGAACAGCCUUCGGGCCGGUCAUUUCGCUGCUCGUUGGUUGCCCCGGCAGGUUACCUUUUUUCCGUGGGAGUGGGUGCCGUAACCAGGCCCUACUUCGCGCUCUUAACGCCCAGGUCGCGGGUUCGAAUCCCGCUGGUGGCU